UACGUAGGGUGCGAGCGUUGUCCGGAAUUACUGGGCGUAAAGAGCUCGUAGGCGGUCUGUCGCGUCGAUCGUGAAAACUUGGGGCUUAACCCUGAGCUUGCGGUCGAUACGGGCAUGACUGGAGUUCGGCAGGGGAGACUGGAAUUCCUGGUGUAGCGGUGAAAUGCGCAGAUAUCAGGAGGAACACCGGUGGCGAAGGCGGGUCGCUGGGCCGAUACUGACGCUGAGGAGCGAAAGCGUGGGGAGCGAACAGG
rnacentral:rRNA from 1 species